UACGUAGGUGGCAAGCGUUGUCCGGAUUUAUUGGGUUUAAAGGGUGCGUAGGCGGCUUUGUAAGUCAGUGGUGAAAUAUGGCAGCUCAACUGUCAGGGUGCCAUUGAUACUGCGGAGCUUGAGUACAGAUGAGGUAGGCGGAAUUGACGGUGUAGCGGUGAAAUGCUUAGAUAUCGUCAAGAACACCGAUAGCGAAGGCAGCUUACUAGGCUGUAACUGACGCUGAGGCACAAAAGUGUGGGGAUCAAACAGG
rnacentral:rRNA from 1 species